rfam:Eubacterium cellulosolvens 6 chromosome, whole genome shotgun sequence.
AGGUCAAACAUAAAGGGCGCAGGGCGGAUGCCUUGGCACUGAGAGCCGAUGAAGGACGUGACUAGCUGCGAUAAGCUUCGGGGAGUGGCACAUACACAUUGAUCCGGAGAUUUCCGAAUGGGGAAACCCGCAUGAGUAAACCUCAUGCAUCUCAUAGUGAAUACAUAGCUAUGUGAGGGGCACCUGCUGAACUGAAACAUCUAAGUAGGCAGAGGAAAAGAAAGAAAAAUCGAUAUCCUGAGUAGCGGCGAGCGAAAGGGAUGGAGCCCAAACCGGGGUGCAUGCACUCCGGGGUUGUGGGCAGUCAACAUGUACGGAUAAGGAUAGUCGAAUGGUUUUGGGAAAUCCAUCCAGAGAGUGUGAAAGACACGUAGACGAAAUCCGAGUCCGGCUAGACUGUACCAGAGUACCACGGGACACGGGAAACCCUGUGGGAAGCAGGAGGGACCACCCUCCAAGGCUAAAUACUCUCAGUGACCGAUAGCGUAUAGUACUGUGAAGGAAAGGUGAAAAGGACCCCGGGAGGGGAGUGAAAGAGAACCUGAAACCCUGUGUCUUCAAACUGUCAUACUCCGAUACAUGACCGGAGGAUGGCGUACUUUUUGUAGAACGGUCCGGCGAGUUGCCGGUACUGGCGAGGUUAAGCACUACAGGUGUGGAGCCGAAGGGAAACCAAGUCUUAAUAGGGCGCAUUAGUCAGUAUCGGCAGACCCGAAACCGGGUGAUCUACCCAUGGCCAGGAUGAAGCUGCCGUAAGAGGCAGUGGAGGUCCGAACGCACAUCUGUUGAAAAAGGUGGCGAUGAGCUGUGGGUAGGGGAGAAAUUCCAAUCGAACCCGGAGAUAGCUGGUUCUCCUCGAAACAGCUUUAGGGCUGGCCUCGAUUUAGAUCCGUGGAGGUAGAGCACUGAAUUUGUGCGCGGGCGUCAAAGCUUAGCAAGCGAUAUCAAACUCCGAAUGCCAUGUGACCGAUGAUCGGGAGUCAGACUGCACGAGAUAAGUUGGGCAGUCAAAAGGGAAAGAGCCCAGACCUGCAGCUAAGGUCCCAAAGUGCGCGUUAAGUGGUAAAGGAUGUGGGAUCUCGAAGACAACUAGGAUGUUGGCUCAGAAGCAGCCAUUCAUUCAAAGAGUGCGUAAUAGCUCACUAGUCGAGAGGUCCUGCGCCGAAAAUGUCCGGGGCUGAAACGCGACACCGAAGCUCAGGAAUGUACUUGUACAUUGGUAGAGGAGCAUUGAAUAAGCGAAGAAGCAGUACCGUAAGGAGCUGUGGAGUUUAUUGAAGAGAGAAUGCCGGAAUGAGUAGCGAGAGAAAGGUGAGAAUCCUUUCGGCCGAAUAUCCAAGGUUUCCAGGGUAAAGCUGAUCUGCCCUGGGUAAGUCGGGGCCUAAGGUGAGGGCGAAAGCCGUAGCCGAUGGACAACAGGUUGAAAUUCCUGUACUAUCAUAAGACAGAACUGUGGGGACGCAUGUGGAGAGCUCAUCCCGGGAAUGGAACCCGGGGCAAGCGGAGGAGGUGUAUGACAGGCAAAUCCGUCAUACAAGCCAAAGACGUGAAGCGUACCGAAAUAAAGUAGGGAAGUGAGUGAGCCAUGUGCCGAGAAAAGCCGCUAUAGCUCUUAUGAUACCCGUACCGUAAACCGACACAGGUGGGUGAGGAUGAGAAAUCCUAAGGCGCACGAGCGACCUCGCGUUAAGGAACUCGGCAAAAUGACCCCGUAACUUCGGGAGAAGGGGUGCCAUCGUAAGAUGGCCGCAGUGAAUAGGCUCAAGCAACUGUUUAGCAAAAACACAGGUCUAUGCGAAACCGAAAGGUGAGGUAUAUGGGCUGACGCCUGCCCGGUGCUGGAAGGUUACGAGGAGGGGUUAGCAGUAAUGCGAAGCUCUGAAUCCAAGCCCCAGUAAACGGCGGCCGUAACUAUAACGGUCCUAAGGUAGCGAAAUUCCUUGUCGGGUAAGUUCCGACCCGCACGAAAGGCGUAAUGAUUUGAGCACUGUCUCGACAAUGCAUCCGGUGAAAUUGAAGUACCAGUGAAGAUGCUGGUUACCCGCGCCAGGACGGAAAGACCCCAUGGAGCUUUACUCUAGCUAGAUACUGGGGUCUGGUAAUGCAUGUACAGGAUAGGUGGGAGGCUGAGAAGAAAGGACGCCAGUCUUUUCAGAGCCGCUGUUGGGAUACCACCCUUGCGUUACCGGGCUUCUAACCUGCAGCCGUUACCCGGCUGGGGGACAAUGUCUGGUGGGGAGUUUGACUGGGGCGGUCGCCUCCGAAAGUGUAUCGGAGGCGCCCAAAGGUUCCCUCAGGAUGGUUGGAAACCAUCCAAAGAGUGCAAAGGCAGAAGGGAGCCUGACUGCGAGAGCGACGGUUCGAGCAGGUACGAAAGUAGGGCUUAGUGAUCCGGUGGUAUUAAGUGGGAAUGCCAUCGCUCAACGGAUAAAAGCUACCCUGGGGAUAACAGGCUUAUCACUCCCAAGAGUUCACAUCGACGGAGUGGUUUGGCACCUCGAUGUCGGCUCAUCGCAUCCUGGGGCUGUAGUAGGUCCCAAGGGUUGGGCUGUUCGCCCAUUAAAGCGGUACGCGAGCUGGGUUCAGAACGUCGUGAGACAGUUCGGUCCCUAUCCGGCGUGGGCGCAGGAGUUUUGCAAGGAGCUGUCCUUAGUACGAGAGGACCGGGAUGGACGGACCGCUGGUGUAUCGGUUAGACUGCCAAGUCUAUGGCCGAGUAGCCAAGUCCGGAAGGGAUAAACGCUGAAGGCAUCUAAGCGUGAAGCCCCCCUUAAGAUGAGAACUCCCAUUCGAAAGAAGUAAGACCCCUUGAAGACGACAAGGUUGAUAGGGCAGAGGUGGAAGCACCGUAAGGUGUGGAGCUGACUGUUACUAAUCGGUCGAGGGUUUGACCUAU